GGGGGCGACCGGUUUCGACUGGACGCUCGUCGCGGAACGGUGGCGUGCCGAGGACGCCGGGUUGGCCUCGUAAAACCUCCCGGCAAGGCUUAACUGCCAACACUGAUUACGCACUCGCUGCCUAACAACGGCUAGCGCGCUGCCGGGGAUCCCGCCCGCGGAGCCCCGGUGGCGUACCGAUGCGGGCUGGCGACCGGUCGCGCCCCGCGGCCGGAGCGAGAACCCAGGGGCUGGCGUGGAGCGCCGCCUGCCGGCGAGCAGUGCUCCGCGUGAGAACCGAUCACCGGCUACGCACGUAGAAGCCCUCCGCGCGGCGGCCCAGGACGCGGGUUCGAUUCCCGCCGCCUCCACCA
rnacentral:tmRNA from 1 species